rnacentral:rRNA from 1 species
GUCUAUGGCCAUGUCACCCAGAAUGCGCCCGGUCUAGUCUGACCUCAGAAGCUAAGCAGGGUUGGGCCUGGUUAGCACUUGGAUGGGAGACCACCUAGGAAUACCAGAUGCUGUAGGCA